rnacentral:lncRNA from 1 species
AACUCACAGCCCAUGAGGGACCCUGAGUACUGCCUCUGACCUCUCUAUGGCAAGCCAAAUGGCCAUGGGAAGACCCCAUGGAGUGUCAGAAUGAUGCCGUUGAGGGCAAGGAUUUUAGACCGGUCAUGGAUUCUGCCUGUGCACUGGGCUCUACCACUUUCUAGCUAUCUGGCUACUAGCAAGUUACCUUAACAAUCUAAGUUUCAACCUCCCCAUUCGUGAAAUGGAGAUGAUGUCUUAGUCAUAGAAGUAGCAAGUCUACUGCAUAUCAACAGUGUAGCACUGAGCCUGGCUCUUUGUAAGUGUUCAGUAAGUGUUACUCAUUAUAAUGUAUUAUUAUUAUUACUACUACUACUACUUUUUUCUUUUUUUUUUGAGAUGAACUCUCGCUCUGUUACCCAGGCUGGAGCGCAGUGGGAUGAUCUCUGCUCACUGCAGCCUCUGCCUUCUGGGUUCAAGUGAUUCUCCUGCCUCAGCCGCAUAAGGAAACAGGCCGAGAGACGCAAGUCAAACAGCAAAGGAUGGUCUGCUGUCUGUCUGACUCCAAUGCCAAUGGUCUUUCCUCUAUAACCUAAAGCAAUAAAACCCCUGCAACAUCUA